AUGGGUCUCCUUUAUUUUAGGACCUAUGUACAGGGUACGCGUAGUCGCUGGUCACCGUCAGCUUCCGCACUCCUAGCCGCUUCCGUUUUCUGUGAGCUCAUUCUUCACCACCGCUUCUUUGUCAUCUUUCUUCUCCUCUACCUGCACACUUUCAGUCUUGAUCUCAUUGCCAUAUUUCUUCCCGUCCACUUCCAUAUUUUCUGUCUUGAUCUCAUUGGUGUCUUUCUCCUCUGCCUGCUUACUUCCGGUCUUGAUCUCAUUGGCGUCUUUAUUCUCCUCCGCCUGCUUACUUCCAGUCUUGAUCUCAAUGGCAUCUUUCUUCUUCAAUUUCAGGAGCUCGACAAGAUCAUGGAGGGCAACAUCAGUGUCAUCGCUCCUCAUCAGAACCUCGGCGACCUCUGCAGGCGUCACCGUGACCUCCUCGAUCAACGCCUCAAUCUCAGGAUAGGUGACAUGGUAGUCAAUGGAAUGGUAGUUAUUGGCAAGGAUCUGUAA
rnacentral:rRNA from 1 species